rnacentral:rRNA from 1 species
UCUGGAACACUACUGACGCUGAGGCGCGAAAGCGUGGGGAGCAAACAGGAUUAGAUACCCUGGUAGUCCACGCCCUAAACGAUGAAUGUUAGUCGUCGGACAGCUUGUCUGUUCGGUGAUGCAGCUAACGCAUUAAACAUUCCGCCUGGGGAGUACGGUCGCAAGAUUAAAACUCAAAGGAAUAGACGGGGACCCGCACAAGUGGUGGAGCAUGUGGUUUAAUUCGAAGAUACGCGAAGAACCUUACCUAGCCUUGACAUAUAUGAGAACUCCGCAGAGAUGCAGAGGUGCCUUCGGGAGCUUUUAUACAGGUGCUGCACGGCUGUCGUCAGCUCGUGUCGUGAGAUGUUGGGUUAAGUCCCGCAACGAGCGCAACCCUCGUCACUAGUUACUAACGGUUAGGCCGAGGACUUUAGUGAGACUGCCUUCGUAAGGAGGAGGAAGGUGAGGACGACGUCAAGUCAUCAUGGCCCUUACGGCUAGGGCAACACACGUGCUACAAUGGCCAGGACAAUGAGACGCAAUACCGCGAGGUGGAGCAAAUCUAUAAACCUGGUCUCAGUUCGGAUUGUAGUCUGCAACUCGACUACAUGAAGCUGGAAUCACUAGUAAUCGUAGAUCAGCUAUGCUACGGUGAAUACGUUCCCGGGUCUUGUACUCACCGCCCGUCACACCAUGGGAGUCGAUUUCACCCGAAGCGGGGAAGCUAAACUGGCUACCCUCCACGGUGGAAUUAGCGACUGGGGUGAAGUCGUAACAAGGUAACC